AUGAUCAUAUUCCUCUAUAUAUUUUUCUAUGAAUACUCUUUUAGUAAUCUCUGCUGGUUUUGCUCACUUGAUUUUCAAUCAACUUGCACUUGCCUGAUUGUUCAUGUUCAGGGAAGAGACUUGAUGUUAGGAACUAUUCUUUGUGGUUGUAUGCAUCUUGUUGAUUUGGCCGAUAGUGAGAGAGUAGACAAAUUUGAGGUCACUGGAGAUAGACUAAAUGAGGCACAACAUAUUAACAAAUCUCUCUCUGCUCUAGGGGAUGUCAUCUCUUCUUUUGCCCAGAAGAAUCCACAUGUCCCUUACAGGAAUAGCAAACUAACAGAAUUUUUUCAAGACUCACUUGGGGGGCAAACCAAGACACUAAUGUUUGUUCACAUUAACCUUGAACCAGAUGCUGUUGGAGAAACAAUUAACACAGUUAAAUUUGCAGAGCGGUUUGCCACGGUAAAACUUGGUGCUGCUCGUGUAAACAAGGAUAGUGCAGAUGUGAAAGAGCUGAAAGAACAGAUUGCUACUCUUAAGGCAGCUCUGGCAAGGAAAGAGGGAGAACCAGAGGACAUGCAACAUUCAUUUUCCAACAGUUCUGAAAGAUACAGAACAAAAGCCAGUGAUUUAUCACAUUUUCAUUGUAAAAAGCAGGCUGGAGAUAUGUUAGAUGAUCAAAAUAGUUGCAGGCAACCAAUGUGGGAUGUAGGCAACAUCGAGGCACGUAGUAAUUCCAUGAUGAGGCAAAAGAACCAAAGCUUUGAUCUUGAGGUGUUACUAGGGAACUCACCUCCUUGGCCUCCAGUCAGUAGUGAUGUGCAAAAUUAUGUGGAGGACGACAAAGACAUUGACUCUGGUCAGUGGGUAUAUAAGGUUAUGGUGAAUAAGCAAGAUGUUGUACCUAGAGUUCGAAACCCUUUAGGAUGUUGGGAAACAGAGAAUAGGAACUUGCCUGAUGCUUUCUACCAAAAACUUAUUUCAGAUUCUUCAAAGCUAUUCCCGGAUCAAUCAUAUAACAUAUUCAUAGCAAACAAUUGUUAUGACAUUGCUAAUAAUGAUGAUUUGCAUGAGGAUGCUGCCACCGGUGCUUCUUCUGAUGCCGAUUUGCUUUGGCAAUUCAAUAAUGCAAAAAUAACUAGCAUGACUAAUGGGAUUGAGUCAAAAAUCAUGAAACCUAAUACAAAGCCAACAAAUAGUCCAGAACUAAGGAAUUUGAAUCUACUGUGGGCCCUUCACCAUCACGGAAACUAUCAAAUGGGGUUGGGACUCGAUAGCACAGGAAUGGAAGGCACCCAGUUCCCGUAGAUGGGAAGCGAAAAAUUAGGAAUAGAAAGUAA